rnacentral:rRNA from 1 species
GAUGAACGCUGGCGGCGUGCCUAAUACAUGCAAGUCGAGCGAACAGACGAGGAGCUUGCUCCUCUGACGUUAGCGGCGGACGGGUGAGUAACACGUGGAUAACCUACCUAUAAGACUGGGAUAACUUCGGGAAACCGGAGCUAAUACCGGAUAAUAUAUUGAACCGCAUGGUUCAAUAGUGAAAGACGGUUUUGCUGUCACUUAUAGAUGGAUCCGCGCCGCAUUAGCUAGUUGGUAAGGUAACGGCUUACCAAGGCAACGAUGCGUAGCCGACCUGAGAGGGUGAUCGGCCACACUGGAACUGAGACACGGUCCAGACUCCUACGGGAGGCAGCAGUAGGGAAUCUUCCGCAAUGGGAGAAAGCCUGACGGAGCAACGCCGCGUGAGUGAUGAAGGUCUUCGGAUCGAAAAACUCUGUUAUUAGGGAAGAACAAAUGUGUAAGUAACUAUGCACGUCUUGACGGUACCUAAUCAGAAAGCCACGGCUAACUACGUA